rnacentral:rRNA from 1 species
AUUGAACGCUGGCGGCAGGCUUAACACAUGCAAGUCGAGCGGUAACAGAGAGAAGCUUGCUUCUCUGCUGACGAGCGGCGGACGGGUGAGUAAUGCCUAGGAAUCUGCCUAGUAGUGGGGGAUAACUUGCCGAAAGGUAAGCUAAUACCGCAUACGUCCUACGGGAGACAGGAGGGGACCUUCGGGCCUUUCGCUAUUAGAUGAGCCUAGGUCGGAUUAGUUAGUUGGUGAGGUAAUGGCUCACCAAGACCGCGAUCCGUAACUGGUCUGAGAGGAUGAUCAGUCACACUGGAACUGAGACACGGUCCAGACUCCUACGGGAGGCAGCAGUGGGGAAUAUAGGACAAUGGGGGGAACCCUGAUCCAGCCAUGCCGCGUGUGUGAAGAAGGUCUUAGGAUUGUAAAGCACUUUAAGUUGGGAGGAAGAGCAGUUAACUAAUAUUUGACUGUUUUGACGUUACCGACAGAAUAAGCACCGGCUAACUUCGUGUCAGCCGCCGCCGUAA